GAUGAAGAACGUAGCGAAAUGCGAUAAGUAAUGUGAAUUGCAGAAUUCAGUGAAUCAUCGAAUCUUUGAACGCACAUUGCGCCCGCUAGUAUUCUAGCGGGCAUGCCUGUUCGAGCGUCAUUUCAACCAUCAAGCCCCCGGCUUGUGUUGGGGACCUGCGGCUGCCGCAGGCCCUGAAAAGCAGUGGCGGGCUCGCUGUCACACCGAGCGUAGUAGCAUACAUCUCGCUCUGGGCGUGCUGCGGGUUCCGGCCGUUAAACCACCUUCAUAACCCAAGGUUGACCUCGGAUCAGGUAGGAAGACCCGCUGAACUUAAGCAUAUCAAUAAGCGGAGGA
rnacentral:misc_RNA from 1 species